UGACUGUAAUGUUUGUUGAAUUUUUGGUGAUUUUCACCAAAAGUACGAUAACUUGGAGUAAUUUACCCCGCGUUGAUGACAAGAAGCAAAUGGACUAAAAAUACAGCGAAUACGUUUGGACCAUCUAAGCAAUGGAGUUAAAGAAAAAUAUCUGGUGAACAUCUCAGCAGUUGGACUAAAUGACUAUUUCAAUGAAAUGUUGAUGUUAUUGGGGAAGAAAUUGGGCAAAGUCUUAAGAGAUUAUGGACUAUAGAUGAAAAAAAGAAUUGAUAUUGCUUUUGAGAUGACUCAUCGUCAAAGAUUGUUAGCAGUGGAGUUCAAUGUAAUGAACAUUGGUGCGCUACAAAUGCAAAAGAAGUGUGUUAGAAAGAAGUAAAAUCAAUGGACUCUGGCUGCAAAUGGAGUAAUUGGGAAAAAAUUGCACGUUGUGUCAGCAGAUAAUGGACAACAAACAUGAUGCCGAUACAAGUGAAAUUGAAGGGAAACGAUGAUAAUAAUGCUGUUAAUGGUAAUUGUUCAAGGAAAACCAGCCCAGAAUGAUGUUCAGUGAAUAUUGCUUAUGGUAAUAUAGAUAGAUAUAGUUAAGAUUAUAGUUUGGCUCCACUAUAUGUAUAAUUGUCAAUCUAAACAAAGUUGGAAGUUCCCCUUCCUUCCUACUUUAUUUAGAUGAAGUUUAAGUUAAAUGCUUUGUCUGUCAAAAUUGCCCCACACAAUUUUGAUAGAUAAAUGCAAUAAAAUAAUAUUGUAAAUUGUCUUUUUGUCAAUAGUUUAAAGUAAUUAUAAUACUCCUGCAAUGAUCAUAAUGAACCGGAAUAAGAAUUGAAGUAAUAUGAAUAAUUUAAAUGAUUUACUGAAUAAUUUGUAUAAUUUGAUGAAUAUCGUGACCUGUAAUAUAA